AAAUCGGUCUCGUGAGCCUGCCUCGGGGCCCUCUUUCCGAAGCAGGCUGAUUUCUCACAACAGCCUCAUCUGUCGCUCUUUCUGUUGCCUCCUCGGGAGUCCCCUGGAUCCUGCUGACCAGCCGCCAACCAGCGAUGAUGUGAGAAUACCAGUGGACCUACGUUCAGGGCUUUUCUCCACGUCCCCCUGUUCGCUGUGGCGGAUGAAACCAGGUUUCCGGGAGGGCCCGCAUGCUCCCCUGCCUUUGGGGCUCCAGACUCCUUUGGUGUCCUGCGUUUGGAAACCAUAUCCAUUGAUACUGUUGGAAUCUCUUUCGUGAGCCUGCUGCCUGGACCUCUUUCCGAAACAGGCUGGCAGGCAACAGUGUCCGAUGAAAGCAAAAUGUUUGGAAACCAUGCCUUUUCUCCUUGGCUUUGCUCUGCAGUAAUCCCUUGUUUUCCACACCUGGUAUCCUAAUUCCAUCCAUAUUGUUGGACUAUCUGACGUGAAGCUACGAGAGCUACGGCCUAGCCCCCUUUCAGCAGGCCGAUUGCCCCCUGCAGAGUGAUCUGUGGAGUGCAGGGCUCCUGGGGCAGUCCCGUGGGCCGUGCCUCACCUGGUGUGCCCACCGGGCAUAUGUGAGCACGUGCGCACUUGGCAGUCCCUUCGCCCCGUCCCCAUGUUCCCUGUGGCAGCGGAACCCACAGUCUUCAGGAAGAGCAGCUGCGCUUGCUGGCUUUGCUGAUGCAAACGACCCUUCUUUCGUGUAUCUGCUAUCCCCGUUCCGUUCGUGUACAUGCCAUGCCUCUUCUGAAUUUGGUGUCCUGGCCUCUUUAGCAGCCUGCUCCCUUUGUGCUGGCCUGAUCAAGGCAUUUCUGAUGCCCUUCUUCAAAAAGUGGAACGUUGAAGCCGAAUCUCGUGCGGGUUGAAUGUUGAGAUUCCCAAAAGGAAGCGAUGCAGAGAGUAGUUUUCUCCAACUUCGGCUCUCGAGGCCUCCUGGGAGGGCUUCUCGCAGAACCACGUUGCCUCCAGCCAUCCCUCCGUCCUUCUGAUUAGCUUCAGAGCCUGGGCAAGGUAUGAGCGUGUGACCAUCUUGCAAGAAGGGAACCGAGGAUCGCAAACACCUGAUUUUCUUCAGGCCACACCGCCAGUUGGCGGCAGGGCUGGGCAGGGCUCGGCAGGGGUACGCCAUGCUCCCCGAGGUCUCCUAGAAUGAUGGGAAGACUCACGUCGCCUACUGUGGUGCCUCCAGCUACAGGAUGGCCGAAGGCCCUGCGGAUUGCCCGUGGCACGUUUCUCUUCGGGGGCCAGGUGUGCAACCAGGCCCCGCGCCGCCGUGCUGGCAGCUGAGGGUCUGAGAGGACUUUGCUUGGGCCACGGGACAAAGAAGUGUCAGACGUCCGAGUGGGACCUGGAGAGCCGGGACCCGGAACCCGUGCUCCUGAGCGGGAUGGAGUGGAGGUUUCCCGGCACGCAGAGGUGCUGCCUGGUCCGUGUCCUCCCGGGCGGGGCGGCGUCUUGUCCGAGGUGCCCCUGAGGCCACAGCAGUGCGCAGCCACCACUGCUUUGUGGUCUCCUGUCAGAAAGGACGUGACGGCCCCGGGGGUUGCGUGCAGGUAGAGGCCUGGUGAGUGAAGGUCUCGUGGGUCAGUCGUACGCCCGGAAGCCUGCAUCCGAGUGGAUGUUGCAAGCGGCAGCUCCUCCACGUUGGCGUCUGGCCCGAGACCGCCGCGGCCGAAGGCAGAAGCUGGGGACUUGCGCGUGUGAAGUGAGGGGACGCACGGUCUUGCCAGAGGACCUGGCCACGGGCGGUGCU